CUCGAGUAGGGCCCAAGCAAGCCAGGAAGGAGGAGGCAGCCAGAGUGUUCUCUGCAGCAGAAGACUCCUUGCUGCCCUGCUCAACCCAGACCAGCAUUUGCCAGGUGUACAGGUCAAAGCAGAGAAGAAGAGAAAAGAGAAGAAGAGGAUGACCAGCAGCAAGGUGGAUGGACUCAAUUACAACAGCAAUGAAUGCACCACUGAGAGACCCACAAUGCCAAGCUGAAGACAGAUCAUCCUGGAGAGAAGCUAUCUUUGUGGUUGCUAAGAGUCGACACCGAUUUGAUGGCACUUAUCAAUCAAUCAAUCAAUCAAUCAGAGGUUAAAGCAGGGCUGUACAACUUUGGCCCUCCAGCUGUUCUUGGACUACAAGUUCCAUCAUCCCUAGCCACAGUGGGGAUGAUGAAAGUUGUAGCUCUCCUGCAGAUGUUGGAUUACAAGUUGUAGUCCAACAUCUACAGGAAAUCUGUACUGCCCUGGGUUAAAGCGUUGGACUAGGACCAGGCAGACAUAAGAACAAGCCUGCUGGAUCAGGCCCAAGGCCUAUCUAGUCCAGCAUCCCAUUUCGCACAGUGGCCCACCAGAUGCCCAGAGUUCAAAUCCCUAUUCAGCCAUAAAAAUUUACUGGGUGACUAUGCAGCAGUAACUUAUCUCCGGCUGGCUGUAAGACAGCCUGUUGUGAGAAUAAGAAUAACCAUGUACACCACUCUGGGCUCUGUGAAGAAAGAGUCUUCCUUCAGUAUUGUCUGAGCCUUGAAGUGUUGGGGUUUUUUUUUGGAUAAAAUUCACCUGUGUCUCUUAUUUUUAUCAGGCAGCAUUGUCCGAUCAUGAAUGUUUUGGCUUUUGUAAGUAUGAUUUAAGAUAGGCUGUGCUCAAAUUCGUGUAAUUUGUUUGAGAGACAUGACAAGAGAGCUUCUAUAAGAUUUCCAGUCAUUGCAAGUUGCUGGAGUCCUUCAUGAUGUGCUUUUUAAGGCACUUUUAUUUCUUAAUUUAAUAGUGAUGUGUGUUGACAUGAGUUUGGCAUUUCUGUUGACUCAGGUUAAAAAAUCUCAGGAGGCAAGGGUGGAAAAAGCCUAGUCUGGGUCUGAGAUAUUAAGGGAAUAGCUUCACCUCCUGCUUGUGGACUUCCCAGAGUUGUGUCCUUAAAGGAAUCCCUCCCACCUUCGAGCCGGCCAAACCACUGGACUUUCAAACUGGUCCGGAGGUCCAUAAGGGGCCUCCAAACUGUUUCCAUGCACAUCCCUAACGCUUACUGCCCUUGCCACCACAACUCUCUGCAGACCCUCUGCCCUGCCCAGCCUUUGCCUGGAGGUAGAAUGUGAUUUCCUUUGGGGGGUUAUUUCCCCCAUCCUGGAUAUUUAGGGAUCAGCAUGGGAGGUAGUGCAGAUUGAGAAGUCUCUGAAUAUUUAAUUUAAAACAGAUUGGGGAAUUUGCUGGUUUAAAAUAAUUUUUAAAUUAAAAAUAUCUAUCAAUAAAGUGGCUUGUUUCAUGGCAGAGCAUUACAAAAAUGUCUGGAAGUGAAGCUCCCCUUAGACCAUCAUUCCAGCCCAAUAUGGAAGAAUCUGCCCUUUGCCAUCAUAAAAGAGGGGUAAAACACCUCCCUUUCUGCCCCAGCCUUUGAUCACCUGGAAAGACUUGGCAUAGGGUUUUGAUAUUGAGCAGAGAUGUAGGGCAGAGUGGGAGGAAUAUGUAUAAUUAAAUUGAAGUGGAUUGGACAAAUUGUUGGUUUUUAAUUAAAAAAAAAAAAUUAAACACAUCCAAAAAGUCCUAUACGUGGCUUGUUUCAUGGCAGAAAAUUACAAAAAGUUCUGGAACAAACAAACAAUAUUAUAUAUAUGUAUAAGUGCACUAUGUUCAAGUUCGUUUGCAACCCAGAAGGUCUGAGUGAGAACUGUGAAGCAUGUAUUGUGCUUUUAUUUUUAUUUUUAUUUUCUUUAGAAAUGCACUAUAUGUCCAACUGGUUGGACAUGUCCAAAAACCUCACUCACACUAUUCAUACUGUAUGUCAUCAAUCAGUUUGAUUCUGUAAUGAUAUGAAAUAUUAAGGAGGCCCAGCACAUGCUGAUUCUCCCCCAGCCCCACACCUUCCUAGGGAUGGCCCUGCUUCUGAGCAUAUGCAGAUAGGGAUGUGCGAAAAGGUUCAAUUCUGAAACUGUUCGAAAUCGAACCAGUUUGGUUCAAUAGCUCAAUUUGGUUCAAUGUUGAGCCAACCCCCCCCCCAGCCGUUUGAGGGGGUGCACUUUUUAAAACCAAAAAAUCACGUUAUUAUUUGUACUUAGCCCCUCGGGGGAGGUUCUCCAAGGCCGCGGGGGGGGGCGGGGGUUGCAGAUGUUUCCUUAUGUAUAAAAGUAGACCCAGUUCGGGCAAUCUUUUACUCUUUCCAGGCCUUGCCCCCAUCGCGGUGGCCAUUUUGGAGGCCAUUGCACAUGCACAAUGGGCACUGCGUAGCCGGGUCAUGACCAGCCAUGCUAAUUCCACAUGACCAUGCUAAUUCUUGCUAUUUCACUAUUUCUCCCCAUCUAUCUCCCUUGCUUCAGUGGGACUUACUGGUCUCCUAGAGGGAGCAAAAUAUGCUGGGAGCACAAAUUAGUUUGGUUUGAUUUACAUCCCUGAGCAUAUGCAAUCCUAUAUGUAAUGAUCAGGGAAGGAUCUCAUGCAGUUGAAUGCAAUGGAGUUUAUUUUUAAGUAGACAUGCUUUCCUUGCUAGUAAGUCCUUUAGGUUUCAGUGAAAUGCCUGAGGCUGGAAUUCUUACCUGGCUGCAAUUACACACAGCCGGCUGUACUGCGAAUUUUCUGGGAGGCAUACUGCGAAAUUGUAAUGAAAAAACCAGACCAAAUAGUGGAUUUAUUAUUGUUGUUGUUGUUGUUUGUUUGUUUUACACAGUCAGACAGGUGUUAUUGACUGGUUUGUUUUAUCCAGACAUCAAGUCCUUCCCAAGGACCAGGGAUGGCUGAAUUUUAUUGUCAAUGUUGUUGCUGUUAUAGAUAUCGUCGCAGAAUAUAGGCUGUUCCCAGUAAAGCUGCUUUUUGUAAUUGGCUGAUGGUGAUUUCUGUGGCCCCUAUGGUGUUGAGGAACUCUUCAAGUUGUUUUGGAAUUGACCUAGGGCGCCAAUUACCACUGGGAUUAUUUUGGUCUUUUUCUGCCACAGCCUUUCAAUUUCAAUUUGUAGAUCUUUGUAUUUGGUGAUUUUUUCUAUUUCUUUUUCUUCUAUUCUGCUAUCCCCUGGUAUUGCUAUGUCGAUUAUUUUGACUUGUUCUUCUUUCUUCUCAACUGCAGUUAUCUCUGGUGUAUUGUGUGGCAGAUGUUAGUCUGUUUGUAGUCGGAAGUCCCAUAAUAUUUUUGCAUCUUCAUUUUCUACAACUUUUUCAAUUGUAUGGUCCCACCAAUUUUUGGCUACUGGUAGCUUGUAUUUUUUGCAGAUGUUCCAGUGUAUCAUCUCUGCCGUCAUGCCUUUGUUUUUAGUCAGUCUGUGCAAUCUUUUUACAACAGCUGAUUAGGUGGUCCACGGUUUCAUCUGCUUCUUUACAAAGGCAGCACUUGCUGUUUGUUGUUGAUUCUUCGACUUUUGUUCUUAUUGCUUUUGUUCUUAGUGCCUGUUCUUUUGCAGCCAGUAUUAAACCCUCUGUUUCUUUCUUCAAGUUGCCAUUCUUAAGCCAUUGCCAGGUCUUGAUGAUAUUUGAUUUUCCAGUUAUAAUGUGCAAAUAUUGACCAUGCAGUGGCUUAUUUUUCCAUUUUUCUGCUUGGUUCUUGACUUGUGCUUUCUUGUAGGCCUGCUUUGUUUCAUUGGUGUUUAAUAGUUUCUCAUUAUUGACCAUCUGAAGUGCAUCUUCUUCACUGUCCUUGAUAUUUUAUUUAUUUAUUUAUUUAUUUUUACAUUUCUAUACCGCCUUUCGUUAAAAGAAAACCCCAAGGCGGUUUACAAAAAUUAAAACAUACAAUAAAAAGCAGUAAAAACAUCAAGCUAAAAACAAGCAUAAAAACAAGACAACAGAUAAAAACACACAAAAGCAGCAGUAAAAAAACGAUUAUGUAAAAGCCUGGGUAAAAAGCCAAGUCUUUAAAAGCGUUCUAAAAGCUGUGAUGGAGUCCGAGGAACGAAUGGCCACUGGGAGAGCAUUCCAGAGUCUAGGAGCAGCAACAGAGGCGGCCCUGUCGUGGCCAGAUCUGCCUUCUAGAGAAAGGGACGCAGCUUUCGCACCAGCCGAAGCCGUGCAAAGGCACCCCUGGCCACCGCCUCCACCUGAGCUUCCAAAAGCAGAGCCGGGUCCAGUAGUACCCCCAAGCUGUGUACUUGCUCCUUCAAGGGGAGUGCAACUCCAUCCAGAACCGGUAAAAUCUCCUCAUCCCGAUUGGCUCUCCUACUGAUCAACAGUACCUCUGUCUUAUCCAGAUUCAAUUUCAGUUUGUUAGCCCACAUCCAACCCAUCACAGCCUCCAGCCCCCAAUUUAGGACAUCCACCGCCUCUCUAGGAUCCGAUGACAAGGAGAGAUAGAGCUGAGUGUCAUCCGCAUAUUGCUGACAACUCAGACCAAAUCCCCGGAUGACCUCUCCCAGCGGCUUCAUGUAGAUGUUAAACAGCAUGGGGGACAAGAUCGAACCCUGCGGGACCCCACAGGCCAACGGCCACGGGGCCGAGCAGUAGUCCCCCAGCACCACCUUCUGGACCCUCCCCUCAAGAAAGGACCGGAACCACUGCAACGCAAUGCCUCCGAUUCCCAUACUCGAGAGGCGGCCCAGAAGGAUACCAUGGUCGAUGGUAUCGAACGCCGCCGAGAGGUCCAGCAGAACCAACAGGGACGCACUUCCCCUGUCUAGUUCCCGGCGUAGGUCAUCCACUAGACCGACCAAGGCAGUCUCAGUCCCAUACCCGGGGCGGAAGCCAGAUUGAAAAGGGUCCAGAUAAUCCAUAUCAUCCAAGACCCUCUGCAGCUGGGACGCCACCACACGCUCCAUCACCUUGCCCAAAAAGGGAAGGUUAGACACAGGUCUAUAGUUGUCCAGGUUGGAGGGAUCAAGGGAGGGCUUUUUUAAUAGCGGUCUUACCACCACCUCCUUGAGGCACGAUGGCAUCCUGCCCUCCCUUAAUGAAGCAUUAACGAUCACCUCCAGCCAUCUACCUGUCCCCUCCCUGGCAGCUUUUAUUAGCCAUGAAGGGCAAGGGUCAAGAGCGCACGAAGUCGCCCGCACACUGCCCAGGAUCUUGUCCACAUCCUCAGGCCACACCAACCGAAAAGAAUCCAACACAACGGGACCAGAUGGUACCAAAGGCACGUCUGCCGGAACUGCCAAAACUCUGGAGUCCAGGUCAGCAUGGAUGCAAGCGACUUUAUCUGCAAAGCGACAGGCAAACCAAUCACAAAGAGCUGUAGAUGACUCCUCCCCCAUUGUCUGGGGGGGGGGGUGGAGCAAGGUUUUCACCACACAAAAGAGCUGUUUGUCUGCACUGAGCAGACGCAAUGGAGGCGGAGAAAAAACAUUUCUUCGCCACCCCCACCGCCACGGCGUAGUCCCUGAAAUGGGCUCUAGCCCGUGUUCAAUUGGAUUCGUGACGACUCUUCCUACAGCAUUGUUCUAGCCGUCGUCCGAGUUGCUUCAUCGCCCUAAGCUCCGAGGAAAACCAAGGAGCAGAACGGGCUCCACCAAGCCGGAGAGGGCGCUUGGGGGCAACCGUGUCAACAGCCCGGGCCAUCUCUCAAUUCCAGAGAUCAACCAAGGCCUCGACAGGGUCACCAGCUCUGGACACUGGAAACUCCCUGAGGGCCGUCUGAAAUCCAAGCGGAUCCAUAAGCCUCCGGGGGCGGACCAUCUUAAUCGGCCUACCACCCCUGCAGAGGGCAGACAGAGCAGUCAAACUAAACCCCACCAGGUGAUGAUCUGUCCAUGACAAGGGAGUGGUCUCAAAUUCCCCCACCUCCAGAUCAUUUAUUUCCCGGUCGGCAAAAACCAGAUCCAGAGUGUGUCCCGCCACGUGGGUAGGGCCCGAUACCAAUUGAGACAGGCCCAUGGUUGCCAUGGAGGCCAUGAAAUCCUGAGCCGCACCCACUAGGGGGGCCUCAGCGUGGACAUUGAAAUCCCCCAAAACAAUAAGCCUGGGGGAACCCAAGGCCACCUCCGAGACCACCCCCGCCAGCUCAGGUAGGGAGACUGAAGUGCAGCGGGGUGGACGGUACACCAGCAGAAUCCCCAGCCUAUCUCGGAGGCCCACCCUCAAGGACAAACACUCGAAAUUCUGAGAUUGCCUGACCGGGCACCUGGAAAUGGGGAAGGUCUCUUGAAAGAUGACUGCAACGCCUCCUCCCAGACCCUCGAGGCGGGGCUGCUGCAGGAUCUGGAAACCUGGAGGACAAAGCUGAGAGAGACCAACCCCACCCAGCGCAUCCAACCAGGUCUCCGUCACGCAUACCAGGUCAGCACGCUCAUCCACAAUCAAAUCGUGGAUGAGAGAUGUUUUUGCGUUAACUGACCUGGCAUUCAGCAGCAGCACCCUAAUCCUCGAAGGAGUGUUCUCAGAGCUCCCUAGGGUCAGAGGGUUGGGAAAAGGGCCGGAAAAAGGAACAGGCCUCAAUUGCCUGGACCGAUUUCCCCUGUAACGGCCUGCCCAACUCCCACCGCCAUACCUCCCUCUGCCCGCUACCCGUGAUAUUGCUGCCCCCACUCCAGACCCACUUUUUUGCUCUCCCAGACACAUCCCCCCAGACUAACCCACCACAGCUUCUUGGCUUAAUUUAAAACCAGGACCAGACUUAUACAAUCUCUGCUGACUUCUUGAUUGGAGGAAGACGGAUCUUAAAGGCAGAAGGAAAAGGUCUUCAGGGCCCCAGGCAGCUCGCCCCACGGCUGAGAGCCACAAGGACGAGAGCCCUUGUGCUCUCGCCCUUCGGCUCAUGCCCUUCGGCUCACGAACCUGGCUCAGCCUGAGCUUUAAAGCAGCAGAGGCUGAUGGUGGAUGGUACAUACCUGGAGAAAAGGUGGGGCAGAAGACAAAGCACAGUCACUGCCUUGCCCAAGAUGUUCCCUCUUAUAUUCUUCAAGGCCUCUUUUCUCCUCCUCUACUGUUUGAUGGACUUGCAGCAUUCCUCUAACACCUGAGCUGCAAGGGAGGUAUAGCCUAUCUACAUUACUGCGGGGGUGCAGAGCAUGACUGAUGGUCAUUAUUUUCCUAGUCUUACGAUCUAGCGACUCUAGCUCUGCCUGGGUCCAGUCUAGUAUUCCUGCAGUGUAUCUGAUAACAGGUAUAGCCCAGGUGUUUAUGGCUUGUAUGGUGUUCCCGCCAUUCAGUUUGGACUUGAGGAUUUUUCUAACUCUCCUGAUGUAUUCACUUCCAAUUUUUCUUUUAACUUCAGUGUGUGCGAUGUUAUCAGCCUGGAGAAUGCCCAAGUAUUUGUAAUGUUCUUUCUCUUCCAGGUUCUUGAUCUUGCUUCCAUUGGGCAGUUCUAUUCCUUCUGUUUUUUUAUUUUUCCUCUGUUCAUUAUUAAUGCAGCACACUUGUCUAGUCCAAACUCCAUUGCUAUAUCGCUACUGAAUAUACGGGCAGUGUUUAGCAGUGAUUCGAUUUCUGACUGGGACUUUCCAUACAACUUCAGAUCGUCCAUGUACAGCAGAUGGUUGAUUUGACUUGAUGUUUUAGAUGUUUGGUAUCCGAGGCCUGUUUUGUUUAGUAUUUGUGAAAGUGGAGUCAUGGCGAUUACAAACAACAGAGGGGAUAGUGAGUCCCCUUGGAAAAUACCUCUUCUAAUGCUAACCUGUCCAAGUGUCUCAACAUUGAUUGUUAACUGUGUACUCCACAUGCUCAUUGCUUUUUAAAAUAAAUAUCUGAAUGUUUUUGCUGACACCAGUUGUUUCUAAACAUUUUAGUAUCCAUGUGUGAGGCAAUGAGUCAAAGGCCUUCUUGUAGACAAUCCAUGCAACACUUAGAUUUGUUUUCCUUCCCAUGCAACACUUAGAUUUGUUUUCCUUCUCUUGCAAUUGUUUUCCUUCUCUUGCAAUUUUCUAAAAUCAUUUUGUCAAUCAGCAGCUGGUCUUUUGUGCCUCGGGUGUUUGGGCAAUUUCCUUUCUGUUCAACUGGAAGCUGCUUAUUAGUUAAUAAGUGUUGCAUUACUUCAUCUGCUAUUAUUCCAGUUAAUAAUUUGAACAUGGUUGGCAGGCAGGUUAUCAGUCUAUAAUUACUUGGAACCACACCUUUUGCUGGGUCUUUCAUUAUGAGAUGAGUUUUCCCAGUUGUUAGCCAUUUUCCCAGUUGUUAGCCAUUGUUCAGUAUCACCUCCUUGCAAAAUGUGAUUGAACUGUUUUGAUAGUUGUUUAUGAAGGCUUGUUAGGUGUUUAAGCCAAAAGCCAUGCAGUUCAUCGUCGCCUGGCGCAGUCCGAUUUUUAAUGUUCUUUGCUCUUUCACUUAUUAAUUCUGUUGUUAUUAUUAGAUCUUGCAUUUGUUGGUUACAUUUUUUGACCUCUUUCAACCAGCCUGCUUUUUUAUUAUAAUCUACUGGAUUGUCCCAUAGUUUCCCCCAGAAUUGCACUGUUUCUUCUGUAUUUGGUGUUUCUAGGUUUCUUGCAGUUUCUCCUUCUAUGCUUUGGUAGAAACGUCUCUGAUUCAACUGGAAUUGGAGAUUCUGCCUGUAUUGUGGCUUUGUAUCUGCUAAUCUUCUUUGAUACUGCCGUUAUUUGCUGCUUUAUUAUUUCCAGGACUUCUCUAAUUUUCCUUGAAUCUAGGUGGUAUUUUUGGAUCAGAUACUGUCCGGUGUUUUCAUUCUUCAGCUUCUUGUCUUUCAUCUUUCAAUUUACUAGCAUCCGACCUAAGUCUGGCGAUUUUAUUUUCUAAUCUAAUCUUCCAUUUAGGUGAUGUACGACUUUCUUUUUUGACAGGUCCACUGAUCUUAUAUCUGAGCUCUUGUGUUGUUAUUGUUGCGGCACUGUACAUUAGUUGGUUUGUUUCUUGCAAAUUAUUGGUUGUUAUUUCUGCAAGUGCAGCAUUGACAUCUUUUAAUGCCCGAGCAAGUUGUUUUUUGGCAACUGUUUUUAGAGCUGGGAGUUGAACCCUGGUGGUUGUUUGGUUCAUGUGCUCAGUUAUUUUUUGCUUUAGUACUUGUUGCUUUUCUGUUAAACGGCAUUUGGGUUUUUGAGAUGAAGGCAAAGGGGAGGUUGCCUGGUUUUGAUUAUGAAACAGUUCAGCAACAGUGGCAUCCUCUAUUUCCAACACCUUCUCCACCUGCGCCUGAGCAACUUUUUCAGUUGGUAGUAAUUCUUCUUCCAUAUCUUGAGCCUGUGUUGCUCUUUGCAGUUCUUCCAGAUCAACUUCUGUGAAUACUUCAUUUCUUAUUAGGAAUCUUCUCUGGUCUGCUAGCCUUUGUUCUGUUAUUUCUGUAUCUGGAUGCUUCUCUUUCCAAAUUUGGUAUAUUCUUUUUAAAUAACCUCUUCUAGUUGGACUAGACUUGUAAUAGCAGAUCAUUAUUUCCUUGUUGGCAUUUUUUGUAUAUUUUUUCCUAUUAAGUGACAUUUCUUCCAGUAACCCUGCAGUCUCCAGCCCUGGUUGCUCAACUGAAGAUCCUGAGUCCUGUAGCCCACUUGUCACCAGAUGUCCAGGGACUCCAGCACCUGGUGCGUUCCUUGUUGACCCAGGCGACGACCGAUCCGGUAUAGAUUUAUUAAACUUACAUCUCACCAUAUUGUUGAUGGGAGAGGCUCCUCUGGUGAGACCUGUCCAGUAUGGUUGGACCUCUAGCAUAGCUCUCACCUUCCUCAGAGCAUGCAAGCCCCACAACCACGCCAAGGUAUUUAUUAUUAUUAUUAUUAUUAUUUACAUUUUAUAUCCUGCUCUUCCUCCAAGGAGCCCAGAGUACUACAUACUUAAGUUUCUCCUCACAACAACCCUGUGUGAAGUAGGUUAGGCUGCGAGAGGAGUGAUUGGCCCAGAGUCACCCAGCAAGUAUUAUGGCUGAAUGGGGAUUUGAACUCGGGUCUCCCCGGUCCUAGUCCAGCACUCUAACCACUACACCAUGCUGGCUCCACGCUGGCACCAUGCAGACCAAAUAGUGGACUUUUUAACCCUGGAUAUAAGUCAGGCUACACUCUAAUGAGCAGUGAAAACCCCAUAUUGUGUGUGAACUGCUCUCUGAUAACUUGCAGGGACUCUGUUAAACAACAGAGUCUACCAUCUUGGCUUUUAUCCUAUUUCAAUUGUCUCAUAUUUCAUUGCUUAGUGGUUUGAGCAUUCUGAACCCUUUUUUGGAAAAAUGUAUAUCAAACCCCUAUUGCUGAUGUGCCUCUUCCUUUUAUGACUUGCUUUGGGUAUAUUUGAUCCCAACUUCUGAGUAAUAGUUGUCCUGCAAAGUUUUAUUGUACUGUGUAUGUACUUCAGUCAGUACUUUACUGAUGAUCAGGGUCAGUGUGUAGGGGGUGAGGCUGGGGGUAACUGGAGAUAAGCUAUGCAAAUGUAGCACCUGACUCUUUAAAAUCCACCUCGUAACUGUACAGUAUGUAGUAACGAUCCAAAGUGCUUGAAAAAUUAAAAUGGCAAAAUACUUAUUUGCCCAAACUAGGCACAGUUACUAUGUUUCUUGAAGGGUAGUAUAAUUGAAGUGUCUAAUUUCUGGGCAUGGAGCAUUAUUAUUGUUGCUAUGAAAAUUGUAUGUUAGUGUUUACUAUUAUUAUUGGGUCCUUGGAGGAAGAGUGGGUAAAAACAUAAAUAAUGAAAAUAAAAAUAAAUUGUUAAAUAGCA